rnacentral:rRNA from 1 species
UACGGAGGGAGCUAGCGUUGUUCGGAUAUACUGGGCGUAAAGCGCACGUAGGCGGCUUUGUAAGUUAGAGGUGAAAGCCUGGAGCUCAACUCCAGAAUUGCCUUUAAGACUGCAUCGCUUGAAUCCAGGAGAGGUGAGUGGAAUUCCGAGUGUAGAGGUGAAAUUCGUAGAUAUUCGGAAGAACACCAGUGGCGAAGGCGGCUCACUGGACUGGUAUUGACGCUGAGGUGCGAAAGCGUGGGGAGCAAACAGG